UUCCCUGAACUGUGGGUAAGAGAAGAGCUCUGAGGAAUCACAUUAAUAAACUUGCACCCUGCAUUGAACGGACAAGAACUUCUCUGUGGCCCACAGUUAUCCCAAGAUAAGUUUUUGUUUGUUUUCCACAGUACUAUCUGGUGAAUAAACAUGACUGUUCCCCACUUCCCAUCUCUCACAGCUCACUGUAGGUGACCAGUCAGCCAGUUGGUGCCAGAUUAAUGACAGAAAACAGAUUUUAUUGUCCAAGUCAGCUGUGAAUGAUGGGACUGUCUGCUAAUUCCCAUGAAAGCUAACUAAUCUUCCAAUUGAAAUAUUGCAUUUACAAUCCAGGCUGUUACUGGGAGCAGAUAUUUUUUUUAAAAAAGCAAAAUAAACCACACACAGAAUCUUUUUAUUGAUCGAGGGGGGAGGAAAAAAAAGGGCAAUUUCAUCUGUUUUCCUAAAUUCUAUACCACUGAGGCCACUUGUCUUUUAUCCCAGUGGAAAUGCGAAAACUCUGGAUCAGCCUUUCUUCUCAUGGGCAUGCAGCAGUUUCCGCUUUCUCCUUGCAGUCUCCAGCAAGAGCAAAUUUAAAACAUAAAGAGGUGGUGUGGGUUUUUUUGUGAGAGACGGUGCAAAACUUACUCAAAUGUUGGACUCGAAGAUGGAAUUAAGUGAUAUAUUCUUGGCAAAAAAUAUCACAAAAUAAACUGUAAAAAUUAUUCAAAAGAUGACCAAACCAUUAACUUCAGUGAGCUGCUAUUAUUUAUCUUGGUAUUAUUUAUUUUAUUACUUGUCUGUGACAAAAUUAUAGAUAGCUAUGUAUAUACAAAUAUGCCUUUAGGAAUAUUAUCCUGUUUCAAGUGUGAAUGUUUGAAAGAAAGAAAAUACUGGCCCACUACUAAUGCAAUUCAGUGUUAAGGGAAAUACUAUUUGUAUAUAUCCUUUUUAUUCAAUACCGUCCUUGUUGUCUUUGGAGGUUUUAGUUUAAUUUAAGGCAAAGCAAAAUCAUUCUUAUUGUCUCCAACAGGUAUUGGAGAGGAUCCCAGGGAAACUGUGGCAGAAUUGUUCGCCUUUUUUUUUAAAUGUUUUGUGGGGAAGCAAAAAUCUUGUAUAACCUGUAAAGCAAAAAUACAAAGAUUACUGACAGCGGAGUUUAUUUCUCUUUCACCGGAAUGGUUCCAGCCACUAAGCUAUAAUGGAUUCAGGCUUUAAGCAAGCCUGUCCUUUCCCCUUCUGCUCAUGAAUGGAGAAAUAUGUACUAUGUUUGAAGGAGCAGCUUUUGUAUGUAUGUGCCCACAUACAUUUAUUAGCAGUAGACUUCAUUAGCAGUAUUCAGGCAUGCCUUUUGGAGACAGCUUUGUACAAAGAGACAGUUUUAGCAAAGAGGCAAGAGUUGUGUGGAAAUCUGUUUUGUAAGGGGAAAAAAAAAAAUUAAGGUUUACUAAGGAUUGGCUGUGUACUCGUGACACAUCAAGUAGCCCAUCAGCUUGCAGUGAGAACUAGGACCCUAGUGCAGUGGCCUUGCAGAGCUAAAGUAUAAUUUGGGUUGGAAAGGCAGGACUCCUAUUUUGUUUUAUCAGCAAACAGAGGAAUUGGCCAGCAGUUCUUCAGGAGUGACCUUCAUACCACACUCAGCCUGACAGAUACUCCAGCCAUGUACUGGACAAUACUACUCAUUACUUUUUGUGCUUCAAGUAUCUAAGCAGCUGUGGGAGGAUCAAAAGUACAUGCUGUUUAAUCUGUUUGGUACCUUUUUUUUCCCCUGCUCUGAGGACUGGAGGAAUCUUUGUCUGACAAAGUCAUUAUUUGGGAUGAGUGCUGAAGGUUUUGUCUCCUGACCGGCUCCAGCUCCCUGUGCCUUACUCGAUGACUCUUUGACCUUGCAUACUUGUUUUAAAGGCAACAUGCAACGAAAUCAAACAGAAGCAAAUCGCUCUGACUCUUGGAAGUGGCAGCAGUGCUGGAGGUAGCAAGCUGCCUGCUUUACCCAUGCCAGAAAACAAGAGUUUAAGCUUCCUGAACAGCCACCCCCUGCCACUCUCUGGUGCAGACCUCUGCUUCCACUGCACGUGUGGGUGUGGGAGGGUAUACUUUUGGGAGGGUGGCAGUAUUUGUGGUUGCUCUAUGGCCUAACUUUCCCUUAUGUACGUUAGGAGAGGGCCCUGUCUGGCUGUUUUCUGUGAACCCAUCCAUCAGCAGCACAGGAAGGUGAAGGUGGCAAAUGGGGACUGCCUGAGAGGAGAAGGCUACAACUUGCUGAUCCAAACCCAACUCAGUAGUGACUAAAAUUUGUUGCUGCAGAACAAUACUGGCAGAAGAACAAAUGGAUCCCAUGAAUAAAUUCAAGCUGAUAAUUAGAAGACAGUUUCUAACCAUCUGGAAUAGCAAGCAGCCUGCAGAAGGUUGUGGAACAGCCUUCAGAAGAAUAGUGGAAUUAGAUGGUUGAAAUUUUUUGAAGAUUAAGCUUGAUAAACUUCUGCAUGGGAUUGUUCAGGACGAUUGUCUGCAACAAUAGGGGGCUGAAAUAAAAAAAGUUUAUGCUGUUGCCUUCAGUCCUUUGUGCAAUGGGAGGGAAUGCAAUGUCAGUCCAUGAGGAUGAACAUCUGCAUUAUGGAAUGAGGAUGAUGAAUGUAGAGGCCAAGAACAGGACGGACAUGGAUCACUUCUCCUCACUAAGCAGAGGAAGGCUAGACUGAGAUUCAGGGAUGAAUUCACAAAGGCAUUCGUCUUCCUAUGGUCACAGAGGAGCAAUCAAGGAGGAGCUACUGAAGUGACACAGCAAGUUACAUGUGUCCACAUGAGGAGUUGCUUGCUUUGCCCUGACUGUGCUUUGGAAAUGAAUCUCCCACCUGCCCACCUUGCUGUGUUUGGGUUUGCAUCGGGGAGCAGCCCCAAAGGAUGCAGACUGAACCUUUCCGUGAGCUUCACCCAGAAGUUGAACUUCAAUGGGUUUUCAAUAUACAAGGCCAGACUGGAGUUAACUCGAUAUAAACUUCCCCUGAAGUUCAUGUAGUGUGGAUAUUAGGUCUUCAGCAUCAAAGCUUUUGGCCUGUAAACCUGUUCCUAUGGGGAUGUGCUACUUGUUAAAAAAGAUACUGCCUUGGCUGUUCCUUUCCAACUGAAAUCCAUCGGCACUUAGUGGUAUCUCAAAUCCUGCUAGGUGUCUUUGUAAACACCAUUAAGAAAAUAUCCUCAAUAUCUGAAUUUUUUUUUAUACACAACUGGCAUUUAUUUAUAUCUCAAAUUCUUGUAGUUGUGUUUUUGCUGUCUUCAGGACUGGACCAUGGGGAGUGAUGUUAAGUCUCAGCCAUUUCUUUAGCUCAAGCAUUAGUUAUUCUUUCGGGAGGGCUCCAGAAGUGCACAGCAUUUGGGCUGUGGGACUUCUGUGCUUGUUUCAAUGAUCACAUACAGAUGGUAUGAAAACACAGCGAUCCAGAUGGUUCCCACGGUAUAAAGACAAAACUACGCGGAGCCAAGAAUUCCUUCUGAGAGAUUAAAAAAAUGAAAAUAUUUCUACUAAAAGCUCAGUCCCUGAUUUUUUUGUUAUAUUGGACCUAUCCUAGCAAUACCUGAGUGAGACUCUUGUGACAGGUGGCCAGUGUUGCUUUCUCCAAUUCUUCUCCUUAGAGGGAACUGCCAUGUACCACUGCAGUGAUCUGGGGUCAGAGAAACAUAUGACAAAAUGAUGGUCAUCUUAGUCUGCUUCACCUUGAAGAGUCCCAUGGCAAAGGCCUUUUAUUCAAACUUUUAUUUAGAAAGGUGGAUUUACUGAAGUACCAUAGAAACAGUGAAAUCUAAUCUGAAGAUACCUGUAAAACCAAGCCUGAGGUAAAGCUACAUAGAAAACAUUGUGUGCAGUACAUAUGUUUAUUAGUUUAAAAACUACUUAGAGUUAAAUAUGCAUAGAGAUUCAAAAAAAUUAAGUCUCUAAAAUGAAAAAAAUAUUUCUGCUGUUGGAAAUGAUUAAUUUUUGCUAUUGUCCAACUCUGCAGACUUGCAUAAUGUCACUAAAGUAGCCCAAAUGAAGACUUAAAAUGAUUGAUGCAGUUGUGUUAGGUGUUUUUCUUCUCUGUUAGUGGAAAUUGGUCUUCCCUGAUCUUUUUAGCUGGAUUGUAUGCUGCUUAAUAAGCAGUAUUACUGAUGUCAGAGAGAGAUUCACCAAAGUGCUGAAACCACAGAAAGGGCGUAAGAAUUUGAACAGGAAUGAUUCAUAUUGGGUGGUGGUGGCUGCAGCUGUAGAUGUCUGUUCAUCCCACUUGCCCUUCCAAACAUUGAAAUUCAAGCUAUAUUGAUAAACAUUGAUUUUUUUUUAUUUUAUUUUUUUAGGGAUUGUGCCCCUUCCUAAUCAUGUUUUAGUAAUAUGAUUAUUUCAUUUUAUCCAAAUAUUGUGAUGGAUAAUAUUCAUUUAUUAUAUGAUAUUGUGUACUAAUAAACAUGCUAACAAUAAUCAUAUGCUUAAAAUAAUAACUACAACAACAGCAAUAAAAGUAAUAAUAAUAAAUAACCAGAAAGACAGCCCAACUGUUUUUAUCAUCAGCUGGACAAGUUUUCUUCUUCUAGGUCUUAUCAGAAGUAAAGAGAAGUUAAUGAAAACCUUUGGAGACUUACUUAUUGUAGGGAAGAAAUUACUUCCAUUAUACAUUGCAGAAUGAAAUCCAUUUAAUCUGUUUUAACUCCUGGCUGCUCAACAACUUGGAUGGGUUGAAGAUUUCAAUCUGCAUACACAGUACAGAUACUGUUCUUGGUUUCAUUAAAUGCUUCUGCUUUUCAAUAUACUGUGUCUACCUUGCCCAAAAUUUAAAAAUGCUUUAUGAAAACCACUGCCCUAGUAGAUAUGCAUCUGACAGGAAAGGGCAUCAUUUAACAACAAUUUACAAUGAUGUAAGUAUAGAAAUACUAAUGGAGGUAAUUACUUGCCAAUAGCCCUUAUUAAAGCUUUAGUAUAUUAGUCUCCAUAAUUAGUCACCCUGUAUGAGGACAGCAUCUGGCUCUUCAAAUCUCUUCCCAAGAAAGGCACUGAGUUAGAAGUCCAGGUUUGUGCAGACUCAAAUUUUUAUGGUGUAUAUAUACUUUUUUGAAACCAUAGUAGGGCAAGUUUUUUCCUCAUUGUUAUUUAGAUUUUCAGGUUUAUAUGGAUCUCCAGAUCUGUUCAUUUAACUAUGAUGUAUUAGAUAACCCAGCUUAUUUUUACUUUUGAAUUUCUGUCCCAGUUCUUCCUCGUUCCCUGUCACAGCAGGCUCAAGUCUAAUUCUGCUUUAUGACAUGAAUCCCAAUUACAGCUAAUCCUAUUAAAAGCUCCAGUUAUUUGAAAACAUGUUCAUUGGCAAGGAAUCUAAAAUGUAGAAAGUCCUAUGAGGACUUUGUGAAGCCUUUGCAGAGAUUUUUACUUUACUCAUUGGUGUAUCAUUAAAAAAAGACCUAAUUGAGUAGCUUUUUGGAUAAUUUCACCAAAAAAGGAAGUUAAAUUUUAACACAUUUUUGGAAGUAAUUCCGUCU